rnacentral:rRNA from 1 species
GACGAACGCUGGCGGCGUGCUUAACACAUGCAAGUCGAACGGAAAGGCCCUGCUUUUGUGGGGUGCUCGAGUGGCGAACGGGUGAGUAACACGUGAGUAACCUGCCCUUGACUUUGGGAUAACUUCAGGAAACUGGGGCUAAUACCGGAUAGGAGCUCCUGCUGCAUGGUGGGGGUUGGAAAGUUUCGGCGGUUGGGGAUGGACUCGCGGCUUAUCAGCUUGUUGGUGGGGUAGUGGCUUACCAAGGCUUUGACGGGUAGCCGGCCUGAGAGGGUGACCGGCCACCUUGGGCCUGCGAUACGGCCCAGAAUCCUACGGGCGGCAGCAGUGGGGAAUAUUGCACAAUGGGCGGACGCCUGAUGCAGCAACGCCGCGUGCGGGAUGACGGCCUUCGGGUUGUAAACCGCUUUCGCCUGUGACGAAGCGUGAGUGACGGUAAUGGGUAAAGAAGCACCGGCUAACUACGUG